rnacentral:tRNA from 1 species
GUUCGAAUGCUGGAAUUGGUAGACAGGGUAAGAUAAGAAUUUAUUGGUUAACACCAUAAAGGUUCAAGUCCUUUUUCGAAUA